CAUGUCACCUGAGAGUCAAUGGGCAACGAUCAAAUUUCACCUUGAGCAGAUUCUUUUGUUUGCUUUUUAGUCACAAAUAGCUUGGCCCUAAGUGGUGGCUCCCAUUCUUGUAAGAUGCGUUUAUUCAUCGUGUAAUCACCAGUUCCCUGUAGUGGGGGCGUGGAUGGAGUGUCAGAGGCUCCUGCUGGUCUUUAGGGUGUCUGGCCUCCAGGAAUCCUAGAGGUAGUAUUUGGAGAGAUUUUUAAAAGCUUUGUUUCUGUGACCAGCAAAACCUGGAUUUGACACUGAGGUCAGCCCGUUUCAGCCAGUGACGUAACCUGUCUUUUUGCCCCAGUAAAUUGGGAACUACAGCACUCGAUGUUAGAGUUGUCGUGAAGAUUAAAGAAGGUGACGACUGGACAACUCCCAGCCCAAUACCUGAAACUGUACCAGCACCCAGUGAGCACUGCUAUUCCUGUGACUGCUGCACAUUUGCCUUAUCUCAGCAGUAUGCCUGUGUCACUUUUUUGGCACUCUUUUCUCAUGGGUACAUUCAGAGAAGAGGAAUGUUUGUUCACUGGUGAAGAGAACAUCCCGUGUACUAUCGUGUAGAAGUUGUAGUAGACGCUGUGGUCUUUCCAACAACAAACAAGGGCUGAGAGCUCCAAGGAGCUGUGAAUCACACCUCCGACUCCCCCCAGGGUACAGGAACGGGGUUCAGAAUGCUCUUCCCAAAGCUGCUGGGACAGGACCCAGGAGGUUCCGGAGGAUCAGGAGGUCCACCUGGGAGAAGAGCUGAUCGGCUAGUAGGAGAGCUGGAAAAGCAACAGACACCUACUUAGUCCCUUCCCUG
rnacentral:lncRNA from 10 species